AUACUGACUUGGCAUCAGAGAUACUAUGAUCACAAAGGUGGAUUUUCCAGGGCAAGGCUUAUCCACUGUACUUUUUAUGUGCAGAUGCCUGUGAUUUCCCCAAAUGUGGGAAACUUGACUACAUGAUUUGUGGUAGUGGGGGACUACAUUUGUGUUCUCCACUG
rnacentral:snRNA from 1 species